UACGUAGGGGGCGAGCGUUAUCCGGAUUUAUUGGGCGUAAAGCGCACGCAGGCGGUUCUGCAAGUGUGGUGUAAAAGCUCCUGGCUUAACCAGGAGAGGGCUCUACAAACUGCAGGGCUUGAGAGCGAGAGAGGGACACGGAAUUCCGGGUGGAGCAGUGAAAUGCGUAGAUAUCCGGAGGAACACCAAAGGCGAAGGCAGUGUCCUGGCUCGUUUCUGACGCUCAGGUGCGAAAGCCAGGGGAGCGAACGGG
rnacentral:rRNA from 1 species